rnacentral:rRNA from 1 species
CAGCAGCCGCGGUAAUACGUAGGGCGCAAGCGUUAUCCGGAAUUAUUGGGCGUAAAGAGCUCGUAGGCGGUUUGUCGCGUCUGCCGUGAAAGUCCGUGGCUCAACCCCGGAUCUGCGGUGGGUACGGGCAGACUAGAGUGAUGUAGGGGAGACUUGAAUUCCUGGUGUAGCGGUGAAAUGCGCAGAUGUCAGGAGGAACACCGAUGGCGAAGGCAGGUCUCUGGGCAUUAACUGACGCUCAUGCACGAAAGCGUGGGGAGCAAACAGGAUUAGAUACCCGUGUAGUCCCUGUCUCUUAUAC